rnacentral:tRNA from 1 species
UACUAAAUGGCUGAAAGUAAGCACUGGUCUCUUAAACCAUAAUAUAAUAUAUUAACAAAUAUUUUUAGUAA